rnacentral:lncRNA from 1 species
UGGGUGUUAAAAAGCCUUAUGAGUAAUGAACAGAACUCAGAGAGCAAUAAGAGAGAGAGGGGAAAGGAAGGAGAGACCACUUGUCUAUGCUCUCCUUACAACGUAUUGAAGUGUAAAGUAUUUAUGUCUUGCGCAACGCUCUCCCUCAUAACAUCGGUAUGUUUUGUAUAGCUUGUUUCAAAUCAGAACGGUCAGAACGUGUUCGCAUUCUAAAAGAGUUGGAGAGGAAAGCAAAUGCAGACUCAACGUGGAGAAGAAACACUAGUUGGUGUGGCUUUUGGCUGGAGCGAUGUGGAUGGGUAUUCAGGCUACAAAAGGUGUGCUGGAGUCAGAGCAGAUCCAUACCAGCUGCAACUCAUCCAUAAAUCAAGACUUCUACAUAUACCCAUUCCUGCCAACUUCCACUCUGCCAGAUCGUAAUCUCUGCUCA